GAGGCGCAUCGUGUUUGAGGGAGAGACAGAGAAGGAGCCCAGCGCGCAGCCCCGCUCAUUGCUAUGGACAGUGCUAUCACCCUGUGGCAAUUCCUCCUUCAGCUCCUGCAGGAACCUCAGAACAAGCACAUGAUCUGCUGGACCUCUAAUAAUGGAGAGUUCAAGCUUUUGCAGGCAGAAGAGGUAGCUCGUCUCUGGGGAAUUCGCAAAAACAAGCCUAAUAUGAAUUAUGACAAACUCAGCCGAGCCCUCAGAUACUAUUAUGUGAAUGGUCAGAAGUUUGUGUACAAGUUUGUCUCUUAUCCAGAGAUUUUGAACAUGGAUCCAAUGACAGUGGGCAGGAUUGAGGGAGACUGUGAAACUUUAAACUCCAGUGAAGUCUGCAGCAGUUCCAAAGAUGGGGAGAUUGGAGGGAAAGAGAAACCACCUCAGCCUGGUGCCAAGAGCUCUAGCCGCAAUGACUACAUACACUCUGGUUUAUAUUCUUCGUUUACUCUCAACUCAUUGAACUCUUCCACUGUGAAGCUUUUCAAACCAAUAAAGAUUGAGAAUCCAGCUGAGAAACUGGCAGAGAAAAAAUCCCCUCAGGAACCAACACCAUCUGUCAUCAAAUUUGUAACAACACCUUGCAAAAAGCCAUCAGUUGAACCUCUUACUGCCACUAUUUCAACUGGUCCAAGUAUUUCCCCAUCUUCAGAAGAAACCAUCCAAGCAUUAGAGACACUGGUUUCCCCCAAACCACCUUCCCUGGAAGCCCAGCCUCUGCAUCCAAUGCAACUGCCAAUUUUUCCACCACACCCUCUGUUUCAUCCAUACCCACUUCCUUGCAGGAGCCUGCUAGGACACCUUCACCACUGCUGAGUUCUAACCCAGACAUUGAUACAGAUAUAGAUUUUGUGGCUUCUCAGUCAAUGGAACUCCCAGACAACUUGCCACUGGAGCCUAAAGACCAGGAUUCAGCUUUGCCAGAAAAGGACAAAACAAGUAAUUCAUCAAGAUCCAAGAAACCCAAGGUGUUAGAACUGGCACCCACCCUUGUAAUCACAGGCAGCAAUCCAAGCCCCCUGGGAAUAUGGAGCCCGUCCCUCCCCACAGCUUCUCUUACACCAGCAUAUUUUUCACAGACGCCCAUCAUACUGACUCCUAGCCCCUUGCUCUCCAGCAUCCAUUUUUGGAGUACUCUCAGCCCUGUUGCUCCCCUUAGUUCAGCCAGACUGCAAGGUGCUAACACACUCUCCAGUUUCCUUCUGUGUUGAACAGUCAUGGACCGUUCUCUCUGUCUGGCCUGGAUGGACCUUCCACCCCUGGCCCAUUUUCC